CGGAAGUCAUUCCACUUCUGGUCGCCAAGUGUGCCCGCAGCCUUCGCAGCCUGAUACUUGGCGCUGCAUUCCUGGGCAGUCAGGGCCUGCGCCGGCAUCGCGGCGGGCGAAGUUGCCUGCACCAGCCAGCAGCGCCGCAUAAAACAGAUUGGCUCGGAUUGUCAUCGAACUCUCCUGAGUGAGGGAUCUCGAAAGCGACACAUCCUAGCUCACGCUGAUUUGCAUUCAACGCGCUGCCACCCGCGGCGAUCAAAAAAAUAAUGAACGG
rnacentral:misc_RNA from 1 species